rnacentral:rRNA from 1 species
GGAGGAAUAUUGGACAAUGGGGGAAACCCCGAUCCAGCAACGCCGCGUGAGGGAAGAAGGCCUUCGGGUCGUAAACCUCUUUUAAGGGAGACGAGAAAGGACGGUAUCCCUGGAAUAAGUCACGGCUAACUACGUGCCAGCAGCCGCGGUAAUACGUAGGUGACGAGCGUUAUCCGGAUUUACUGGGCGUAAAGCGCUUGUAGGUGGCUUUGUAAGUUGGAUGUGAAAACUCUGGGCUUAACCCAGAGAGGCCGUCCAAUACUGCAGGGCUGGAGGAUGUCAGAGGAAGGUGGAAUUCCUGGUGUAGUAGUGAAAUGCGUAGAUAUCAGGAGGAACACCCGUGGCGAAGGCGGCCUUCUGGGGGCAUUCCUGACACUGAGAAGCGAAAGCUAGGGGAGCAAA